CUGGCUCCCUCCUGAUGUGUGAACUGUGAAGUGUAGUACGGAGCGCGAUUGUGGUAUCUUAAUAUCCUUCCUUCUCUUCCCGCUUUACUCUCCUCCCGAUUUUACUCUGGCUUCCCCCAGUGGCAUGCUACAAGAAGGACAGGGGACCCAAUGGCCAAAAGCGGGGAGAGGCGCGAAGGGUCGGUGGGCGCAGCGCGCCCUCUUCGCUGCGCACUUUUUAAGGCUUUCCGCGCUGUUUAAACACCGACAACAAAGGACUGGCCGCUCCCCUGCUAGGUGCCUUGAUCGCCGCGCACCGGAUGGAAGCAAAUAGCCGACCUCUGGUCUACAGAUAGGCAUUCUUCCCUUCCUUUCGGUUAUGAACAUCUUUUGAAACCUAGCAUAAACUGAAAACCCACGACCUAGUAAAUAAAAAAAUGUCGAAAUCAGCUGUAGCUUCAUCAAGAAUUUUACUUUGUUGCUUCUCAAGAUGUGAAGACUGAAAUUCCUGCAGCUUUCCUGGACCAUGGAGUACCAUCCUCAAGAGAGAACGUGUUAGAAACAGCAAGCCAAUCAGCUGAAGAGAAGCCUGGGACUGGGCCUGGGACGGACACAGAAGUCCUUGUACUGAAGUUAACUGUCCGUGCUGCUACAUAGUCUUGUUAAAGACUGAGGAAUCCAGACUCUGGGAGAUG